rnacentral:rRNA from 1 species
AACGAACGCUGGCGGCAGGCCUAACACAUGCAAGUCGAACGGGACCUUCGGGUCUAGUGGCGGACGGGUGAGUAACGCGUGGGAACGUGCCCUUUGGUUCGGAAUAGCCCCGGGAAACUGGGAGUAAUACCGGAUAAGCCCUACGGGGGAAAGAUUUAUCGCCAAAGGAUCGGCCCGCGUUGGAAUAGGUAGUUGGUGAGGUAAUGGCUCACCAAGCCGACGAUCCAUAGCUGGUUUGAGAGGAUGAACAGCCACACUGGGACUGAGACACGGCCCAGACUGCUACGGGAGGCAGCAGUGGGGAAUCUUAGACAAUGGGGGAAACCCUGAUCUAGCCAUGCCGCGUGAUCGAUGAAGGCCUUAGGGUUGUAAAGAUCUUUCAGUGGGGAAGAUAAUGACUGUACCCACAGAAGAAGCCCCGGCUAACUCCGUGCCAGCCGCCGCCGUAAGAC